CCUCAGGGGGUAGAGGGAGGAGGCGGGAAGGAGGGCGCGGCGAGCGCUCUCCAGCUGCCCGCGCCGGAGUUACACGGAAAUAUAUCUGGGGCUGAGGCAGUGUUUUGAUCCUCUACAAGGAAACAUUGUAACAAACUGUUGGUUUUUGUGGUCCCAGAGUUUCCAGAAAUGUUAUGUGCAUCAUCCUUGGCACUUGGCAUCUGACCAGGAUGCUAGCAAUCAACAUAGCAGGAGAGAUCAAUAAGAAGCAAUCUGUGUGACUUCAUAUCAUUUUUCUUUUACCUAAGCUAUGGCACUGGAAGAAAGUUGUCGUUGGCUAUCCAUUUUCCCAGCUGAAGAAAGUUCUUGCACUAAUAUUAUGGAUGCACAACUUGCAAAUAAAUAUAAAGGAUGAUAGCAGGAGAAAGAGGGCCAUUCAACAGGCUGCUAGAAAAAGAGUCAUGUAUACAUCGCUGACUCUUUUUAUAUCACACCGUAUAAAUGUUCUUGUUAUAUACCAUCACACCCAACUGAUAGUAACCCUAGUAGGGUUGCCAUGGGUAUGUGAAAUAUUUAAGGAGUGGUUUAUCAGUGUUGCUGAUUAGUUUCCAUGGCCAAGCAGGGAUUUGAAGCCAGGUCUCCUGAGUUGUAUCCUUCCCUCUGAUCACUACAUCACCUUGGCAUUCACAAGUAAACUCGGUGUCUAAAUUUGUCACCAAUGUUAU